AAAACAAAAACAAUAAACAAAACCACCAGUGUAGGAGAAACCGUCGACUCCAUCCAUGGUUGGGUUGAGGCCUACCUACAUCUGUGAAAGUCCCGCUGCCCACACCCUCUUCGAAUUCCUAAAUCAGCCACUGUAAAUUUCUGGUCUCAGUAUAUGGCAGGUAUUUGUCACAAGUUAACUUGGUAUAAACGCAAAACCUCAGCAACCUACUGGAUUUCUCGUUUUCUUUUCGUAAUUGGAAUGUUGUUUUCAAAGUAUGUAAUUUAUACAUGACAGUUAUUAAUUGAAAAUAAUAUUACUUGCUAUUUUAGUGUCCUUUUUAAAUUUAGAUUUUACAAAACAUAUCAUAAUUCUGAUGCCUAGACUUAUGGUAGUUUAAUUGGCUUAACUGGUGGUAACUCUGUCGGCUAAACCGGUGGUAGCAACUGUCUUUCGGA